rnacentral:rRNA from 1 species
UACAGAGGGGGCAAGCGUUGUUCGGAUUUACUGGGCGUAAAGGGCGCGUAGGCGGCAAUUCAAGUCAUCUGUGAAAUCUCCGGGCUUAACUCGGAACGGUCAGAUGAUACUGCUUUGCUAGAGUGCAGAAGGGGCAAUCGGAAUUCUCGGUGUAGCGGUGAAAUGCGUAGAUAUCGAGAGGAACACCUGAGGUGAAGACGGGUUGCUGGGCUGACACUGACGCUGAGGCGCGAAAGCCAGGGGAGCAAACGGG